rnacentral:rRNA from 1 species
GACGAACGCUGGAGGCGUGCUUAACACAUGCAAGUCGAACGAUGAAAUGGAGCUUGCUCCAUGGAUUAGUGGCGAACGGGUGAGUAACACGUGAAUAACCUGCCCUUAAUUUUGGAAUAACCCAGGGAAACCUGGGCUAAUACCGGAUAAGUAAACCUGUGGCAUCACAUGGUUUUGGAAAGUUUUUCGAUUAAGGAUGGAUUCGCGGCCUAUCAGCUUGUUGGUGAGGUAAUGGCACACCAAGGCGACGACGGGUAGCCGGCCUGAGAGGGUGAACGGCCACGCUGGGACUGAGACACGGCCCAGACUCCUACGGGAGGCAGCAGUGGGGAAUAUUGCGCAAUGGACGAAAGUCUGACGCAGCGACGCCUCGUGAGGGACGAAGGUCUUCGGAUUGUAAACCUCUUUCAGCAGGGACGAAGCGAAAGUGACGGUACCUGCAGAAGAAGCACCGGCUAACUAUGUGCCAGCAGCCGCCGUAA